UUCCUCACUUCGGCAGCAGAUAUACUAAAAAUUAGAAUGACACAGAAGAUUCGCAUGUCCCUUGUGCAGAGAUGACGUGAAAAUCUAUCAAGCAUUGCAUAUGUUU